AUACAGAGGGUGCGAGCGUUAAUCGGAUUUACUGGGCGUAAAGCGUGCGUAGGCGGCUUUUUAAGUCGGAUGUGAAAUCCCCGAGCUUAACUUGGGAAUUGCAUUCGAUACUGGGAAGCUAGAGUAUGGGAGAGGAUGGUAGAAUUCCAGGUGUAGCGGUGAAAUGCGUAGAGAUCUGGAGGAAUACCGAUGGCGAAGGCAGCCAUCUGGCCUAAUACUGACGCUGAGGUACGAAAGCAUGGGGAGCAAACAGGAUUAGAUACCCUGGUAGUCCAUGCCGUAAACGAUGUCUACUAGCCGUUGGGGUCUUUGAGACUUUAGUGGCGCAGCUAACGCGAUAAGUAGACCGCCUGGGGAGUACGGUCGCAAGACUAAA
rnacentral:rRNA from 1 species